rnacentral:rRNA from 1 species
AUUGAACGCUGGCGGCAUGCUUUACACAUGCAAGUCGAACGGUAACAGGCCGCAAGGUGCUGACGAGUGGCGAACGGGUGAGUAAUGCAUCGGAACGUGCCCAGUCGUGGGGGAUAACGCAGCGAAAGCUGCGCUAAUACCGCAUACGAUCUAUGGAUGAAAGCGGGGGACCGUAAGGCCUCGCGCGAUUGGAGCGGCCGAUGUCAGAUUAGGUAGUUGGUGGGGUAAAGGCUCACCAAGCCAACGAUCUGUAGCUGGUCUGAGAGGACGACCAGCCACACGGGGACUGAGACACGGCCCAGACGCCUACGGGAGGCAGCAGUGGGGAAUUUUGGACAAUGGGCGCAAGCCUGAUCCAGCAAUGCCGCGUGCAGGAAGAAGGCCUUCGGGUUGUAAACUGCUUUUGUCAGGGAAGAAAUCCUCUGGGUUAAUACCCCGGGGGGAUAACGGUACCUGAAGAAUAAGCACCGGCUAACUACGUGCCAGCAGCCGCCGCAGUAA